GCCUGUAGCUCAGCUGGUUAGAGCAGAGGACUCAUAAUCCUUUGGUCCCAGGUUCAAAUCCUGGUGGGC
rnacentral:tRNA from 1 species